rnacentral:rRNA from 1 species
CCUACGGGAGGCAGCAGUGAGGAAUAUUGGUCAAUGGACGAGAGUCUGAACCAGCCAAGUAGCGUGAAGGAUGACUGCCCUAUGGGUUGUAAACUUCUUUUAUAUGGGAAUAAAACGUUCCACGUGUGUGAUUUUGUAUGUACCAUAUGAAUAAGGAUCGGCUAACUCCGUGCCAGCAGCCGCGGUAAUACGGAGGAUCCGAGCGUUAUCCGGUUUUAUUGGGUUUAAAGGGAGCGUCGGUGGAUUGUUAAGUCAGUUGUGAAAGUUUGCGGCUCAACCGUAAAAUUGCAGUUGAAACUGGCAGUCUUGAGUACAGUAGAGGUGGGCGGAAUUCGUGGUGUAGCGGUGAAAUGCUUAGAUAUCACGAAGAACUCCGAUUGCGAAGGCAGUUCACUGGACUGCAACUGACACUGAGGCUCGAAAGUGUGGGUAUCAAACAGGAUUAGAUACCCCUGUAGUC